rnacentral:rRNA from 1 species
CUUGUAGGCGGUCUGUCGCGUCUGCUGUGAAAAUCCGGGGCUCAACCCCGGACUUGCAGUGGGUACGGGCAGACUAGAGUGUGGUAGGGGAGACUGGAAUUCCUGGUGUAGCGGUGAAAUGCGCAGAUAUCAGGAGGAACACCGAUGGCGAAGGCAGGUCUCUGGGCCAUUACUGACGCUGAGAAGCGAAAGCGUGGGGAGCGAACA